GCUCAUGAUCUUAAUGCCAGCAUUAAGACAGACAGAAGCAGCAUGGUGCUAAAUGACAGGAAAAUCCAGUAUUUACAUUAGGAUGGUAACAGGAACAUUUAAGAGCAUUUGAUCUUAUUUACUGGUGGACUGAAAGCCCUUAGCUAGACAAUAGAGGAAAAUGUACCAUCAUCAUGUUAUUUAAAAAAAUUUAAGUGCAGAAGUAAAAAACCAAGGAGCUCUGUAAUAAAGUAACAUAAAACACCACUGUAAGGAUCACUUAAAAAGCGAUUCCCUCAGGGGAAAUUAGGGCACUGAGUGUGUAAACAUGUGAGCUGUACAACACCAAAACCAACCAAAUUCAUUCAUAGUACUUAUAGUUAUGCAAGAUCAGCAUGGCCUUUAAUGAUGCAUUAUUGUUUAUAACAAUUUAAACACACUCCUUACCAUGCAUGACUUCAAAUAUAUAACAAAUACUUUUAUUCGAUACAGGAUAUCUGUUUAUGAAAUAAGACCUAUAUACAAUGAAAGUAACACCUCCCUCAUCAAUCAAGUACAGUUACAUGCUUUUUAAAUGCAAUGACCUUAUUCAGACUUCAGUUCAUUUUCUGAAUUGACUGUGUCAGUUUUUCAUCCUUUAAAAUAAUGCCAUUUUAUGAUAAAAUACAUUUUUCAAAAAUUCAGAAAUGUAGUAACAUUUAAUAAAUGUGACCAUGAAAAAUAUUUGUACGGAGGUGCCAAAUGACUUAGCACUUUUUUCCAGUCUGUAUCUAAAAAAAAAGUUGCAAUUUGACAGUAAGCCUAUUUAAAAAAUAUUCUUACAUUAAUUCAUCUCAAAAGGUUCUAUUAAUAGUCCUUUUGCAAAAUACCAUAUAUAUAACUGUGAAUGUUUUUUCCAGAAUUAAUGAAAGAAAAUGUAUCCUCUGCACAGAUGAACAUUUUCUCUCUAAAACUAAUCUUUCAUCACCCAGCAUGUUUUUACAAAAGCAUGCAAUAUAAAAUGCACAUAAAAGCAGCUAUCUUAAACAUGAUUUUAAUACAAUAUUACCUUUGUAGCUGAUUCAUCACUGUCUCCAGUUUAAUAUGCUGUUACAUACAUGAAGAAGCUCCAGUAUCCCUUUUCUGAUUGACUUUUUAAAAAAAUCCCUGAAUAAAACAGAAGCCAGUCUGUGACUUCUUUAGGCAUUUCAGUAGAAGAUCAUCUAUGGAGAAUAUCUCCAACCAGACUCAUGAUUACAGAACAGAAGCUAAAACAAUCUGGGGCAGAGUACAGAGUUAAUACCAAUUUAAAACUUUUAUGUUUAAAAAGAAACAGCCUGUAAUCCUAGUACUCUGGGAGGCUGAGGCAGGAGGAUCGCUUGAUGCCAGGAGGAGUUCGAGACCAGCCUGGGCAACACUGUGAGACCCUGUCUCUAUUAAAAAAAAAAAAAAAAAAAAAAAAAAA
rnacentral:lncRNA from 1 species